rnacentral:rRNA from 1 species
AGAGUUUGAUCAUGGCUCAGGACGAACGCUGGCGGCGUGCCUAAUACAUGCAAGUCGAGCGAAUCAAAGGGAGCUUGCUCCCUGAGGUUAGCGGCGGACGGGUGAGUAACACGUGGGCAACCUGCCUAUAAGACUGGGAUAACUUCGGGAAACCGGAGCUAAUACCGGAUAAUUCAUAUCCACUCAUGUGGAUAUGCUGAAAGACGGUUUACGCUGUCACUUAUAGAUGGGCCCGCGGCGCAUUAGCUAGUUGGUGAGGUAACGGCUCACCAAGGCAACGAUGCGUAGCCGACCUGAGAGGGUGAUCGGCCACACUGGGACUGAGACACGGCCCAGACUCCUACGGGAGGCAGCAGUAGGGAAUCUUCCGCAAUGGACGAAAGUCUGACGGAGCAACGCCGCGUGAGUGAUGAAGGUUUUCGGAUCGUAAAACUCUGUUGUUAGGGAAGAACAAGUACGAGAGUAACUGCUCGUACCUUGACGGUACCUAACCAGAAAGCCACGGCUAACUACGUGCCAGCAGCCGCGGUAAUACGUAGGUGGCAAGCGUUGUCCGGAAUUAUUGGGCGUAAAGCGCGCGCAGGCGGUCCUUUAAGUCUGAUGUGAAAGCCCACGGCUCAACCGUGGAGGGUCAUUGGAAACUGGGGGACUUGAGUACAGAAGAGAAGAGGAAUUCCACGUGUAGCGGUGAAAUGCGUAGAGAUGUGGAGGAACACCAGUGGCGAAGGCGACUCUUUGGUCUGUAACUGACGCUGAGGCGCGAAAGCGUGGGGAGCAAACAGGAUUAGAUACCCUAGUAGUCC